AUUGAACGCUGGCGGCAGGCCUAACACAUGCAAGUCGAGCGGAAACGAGUUAUCUGAACCUUCGGGGAACGAUAACGGCGUCGAGCGGCGGACGGGUGAGUAAUGCCUAGGAAAUUGCCCUGAUGUGGGGGAUAACCAUUGGAAACGAUGGCUAAUACCGCAUGAUGCCUACGGGCCAAAGAGGGGGACCUUCGGGCCUCUCGCGUCAGGAUAUGCCUAGGUGGGAUUAGCUAGUUGGUGAGGUAAGGGCUCACCAAGGCGACGAUCCCUAGCUGGUCUGAGAGGAUGAUCAGCCACACUGGAACUGAGACACGGUCCAGACUCCUACGGGAGGCAGCAGUGGGGAAUAUUGCACAAUGGGCGCAAGCCUGAUGCAGCCAUGCCGCGUGUGUGAAGAAGGCCUUCGGGUUGUAAAGCACUUUCAGUCGUGAGGAAGGUAGUGUAGUUAAUAGCUGCAUUAUUUGACGUUAGCGACAGAAGAAGCACCGGCUAACUCCGUGCCAGCAGCCGCGGUAAUACGGAGGGUGCGAGCGUUAAUCGGAAUUACUGGGCGUAAAGCGCAUGCAGGUGGUUUGUUAAGUCAGAUGUGAAAGCCCGGGGCUCAACCUCGGAAUAGCAUUUGAAACUGGCAGACUAGAGUACUGUAGAGGGGGGUAGAAUUUCAGGUGUAGCGGUGAAAUGCGUAGAGAUCUGAAGGAAUACCGGUGGCGAAGGCGGCCCCCUGGACAGAUACUGACACUCAGAUGCGAAAGCGUGGGGAGCAAACAGGAUUAGAUACCCUGGUAGUCCACGCCGUAAACGAUGUCUACUUGGAGGUUGUGGCCUUGAGCCGUGGCUUUCGGAGCUAACGCGUUAAGUAGACCGCCUGGGGAGUACGGUCGCAAGAUUAAAACUCAAAUGAAUUGACGGGGGCCCGCACAAGCGGUGGAGCAUGUGGUUUAAUUCGAUGCAACGCGAAGAACCUUACCUACUCUUGACAUCCAGAGAACUUUCCAGAGAUGGAUUGGUGCCCUCGGGAACUCUGAGACAGGUGCUGCAUGGCUGUCGUCAGCUCGUGUUGUGAAAUGUUGGGUUAAGUCCCGCAACGAGCGCAACCCUUAUCCUUGUUUGCCAGCGAGUAAUGUCGGGAACUCCAGGGAGACUGCCGGUGAUAAACCGGAGGAAGGUGGGGACGACGUCAAGUCAUCAUGGCCCUUACGAGUAGGGCUACACACGUGCUACAAUGGCGCAUACAGAGGGCGGCCAACUUGCGAAAGUGAGCGAAUCCCAAAAAGUGCGUCGUAGUCCGGAUUGGAGUCUGCAACUCGACUCCAUGAAGUCGGAAUCGCUAGUAAUCGUGGAUCAGAAUGCCACGGUGAAUACGUUCCCGGGCCU
rnacentral:rRNA from 1 species